CUUAGGUUUACCAGCAAGGACAGGCAUGUACUCUCCCCAGUGCUCUCUCCCAUGCCCUUGCCAGCUGCUCCGCUAUGCAGUGAGUCCUGGAUGUCAAGGUCAAGACAGAGAAAUCCGUGCCCACUCCCCACGGGGACGAAACGCGGAUCCGCCCCACGCUGCCUGCAGUCGCCGGGCCCCACGACCCUGGGCGGGCUGCCUGACCCCUCAGCCACGGCCUCACACGCGGCGAUGGGAGCCGGGGACCCGCAACCCCGGGAGGGAGCCUCCCGCCAGCUUCUACCUGUCGGGACAGUCCGGACGCUGCAGGCGCGGCCAUCUUUUCCCGGGCGGCUGUAGGUCAAACCCAAAUGAAAAGAGACUACUGGCGCCAGAGCGCACGCGCGCGCCAGCGUGAUCGCUCGGCUUUCUGGGAAAUGUACGCGUCAGGAGCCCGGGAGUGUGGGUAAGAACCUCUUGCAUGCUGGGAGUUGUAGUCCAUACCUGCCGCGGUCCGGCUGGACUCAUGGGAAGCCCUGCCUACUGUGAGCAUCACUAUUCCCUUGGCAGGGAUCCUGAACUGUGCGAGAACAGAGAGACCCAGCUGGGUGCUCCCAUGCAGGCCCCGACUCCCCGUUCUCUCUGCUCUUGACUGUAGGCGUAACCAGCUGCUUCAGGCUCCUGCCUUGACUUCCCUGAAGUGAUAGACUGCAACCUGGGAUUGUGAGCUAAGUAAACCCUUCUCUUAGUAAGGAGACUCUUGUCAUGAGCCUGUUCCUGACUCUCCACCAGGCAUGGAGUUAGCCUAAUCCCUGGUCCCCGGCUUUUGCUGCAUUUCCGACAUACAGCGUGCACUGAGCUGAUGACAUGUCUGAUGUGGUUCAAGGCUCCCGAGAGAGCUAAAAGGUACCUGAGUCUGAGGAGCCCUCAAUGGGGAAUAGCAAACCAGACAGCUUGCUAAUGGACAGACAGAAUGAGACACCUGGCUGGCCCUUCAAAUGGGCAGAAGUUUCUUACCUUCCCAUACUUAAUGCCAGGAUUAGAAUCCAGGCCCAGAGACCAGCCCACCUCUGUCCAAUGGGACCCAAUCUCUUGGCAGCAAUUCUGGCUCUCGGUUUUUUAAUCUUAGAUUCCAGUUUUCUUUGUUCCUUAAUUUUCCCUGUGGGAUGUUUUUUUUUUUUCCCCCAUAGAGCUUUGUGUGGUUCUGCUAUGGAGCAUAGAAGGAGGGCUGAUUUCUCUGUUGGGAGGUGAGGGGAGCACUCUGUCACUCUGAUGGAAUGGAUUGGAAGUGGGUGGAUGCUGGCCAACCUGUGUCCUGCUAAGAUGCAGCCUAGGGGAAUGUCCGUCCCUCACCCCUAGCUGCCUUCGCUCUGCUGGCUGCUGGUCACGUGUCCCUGUUUACCUGCACAGGCAGUCAUUAUUCACCCCUUCCCACGUACCCCCACACUUGCACACAAAGCCAGAGAGUGGCUUACAUUUUCUUUUCUUUCUUUCUUUUCUUUUUUUUUUAAUUUUUAUUUUUUUAAAAAAGAACCUUCCCCAAACCCAUUCUAAAAUGUCAAGUGUUUCAGUUUGAGGAAAAAAAAAAAAAAGCUGAAAAAACCGUGACUCAUGACAAGGCUGACAAACAGCUCUGAAGGUAUGCUGGUGAGUCACUCUGAGACUGUAGCGGCGAGGGCCAGCGGUGGGGAGAUUGUCAGGAGACCAGCCAGUAAAAUUCCACAACUCUCCCGAGCAGAGUAGGAGGUAAUUCAAAAACCCUGGGAUUUUUCCAGCCCUCAUUUCAUGUAGGACUCUGGCUGCUCUUAGAUAUGUUGAUCUCCUCAGGAAAUCAUCAAGAAUGAUUACCAAAAAUAUAAAACAAAAAAAAAAAAC
ensembl:processed_transcript D430001F17Rik RIKEN cDNA D430001F17 gene